UGUGACCGGCACCCCUAGCAUUCCCUCAGAAUUCAAAAUGUGCCCACUAGUCCAAAAACGUUGAUGACGCCUGUCAUUGUAAAGAAACAGCAAAACUGUAAUUACGAAGUAAAGCUCUGCUUCUGGGGAUUUAACAGCAGCUGGCUUCACAGAAGGUUUUCCUGCCAUGGAGGGAAAAUCCCUUUCCAACUCCAGAUGUGAAUGAAGAAGAAGAAAAGAGUCUGCCAAGCCUUCCCACAUGUUAGUUCAGGCUAUCCAGUUGCGGCCUACAGCUUCAGAGGAAAGAGGGCAAGCCUAACAUCUUUGAGGUAAAUGCUUUGCAUUAUAUGUUCAGGUAUGUCUUGUAUGCGUAAAGGAAGGCAUUGU
rnacentral:lncRNA from 1 species